CAUCUCAUCCUUGUUUGCAUAAUCACAGUCUUUCACAAGCAGACGCAGCUCUGUCACAAACUGUUCAAAAGACUCGCGAGCUCCCUGUACUUUCUCAUGGAAUUUGUACCUAGCGAAUAUCGUAUUGGUCUUCGGCACAACAUAUGCUUCAAAACGAUCGUAGUAUGUUUUCAGUACCUUUGAUUCAGCCUCGGUAAGUGUCCGUGUGUUGUAAAUAUCUCUCCCUUUUUCACCGAUCCAGAGGAGCAAGUAGCUGCAUUUUCCCUCUUCUCCUCUGUCCUUCAGAGGACCCGUGAACAUUAACUCCACAUGCUGUUUGAACUUACGCCAUGCAUCGGGUAAAUUUGUAGACUCCCAAGUCCAUUCGAGGUGAAGGAACUCCAGAAAAAUCCAUCUUAAGUGACCACUCCACUAUGAUUGUCAACUCUCUCCUGACAUGAACUGAAGCCACGUCUCAUGUUCCCGCUCAUCCACUGUUACAUUUAAUGUUUCCUCUCCAAGCACUUCAUCUCCUGUCCUGCACUGAAGUCAAGC